rnacentral:rRNA from 1 species
UGGGGAAUAUUGCGCAAUGGGCGAAAGCCUGACGCAGCGACGCCGCGUGAGGGACGAAGGUCUUCGGAUUGUAAACCUCUUUCAGCAGGGACGAAGCGAAAGUGACUGUACCUGCAGAAGAAGCACCGGCUAACUACGUGCCAGCAGCCGCGGUAAUACGUAGGGUGCAAGCGUUGUCCGGAUUUAUUGGGCGUAAAGAGCUCGUAGGCGGUUUGUCGCGUCGGAUGUGAAAACCCAAUGGCUUAACCUU